rnacentral:rRNA from 1 species
GUGGGGAAUCUUAGACAAUGGGGGAAACCCUGAUCUAGCCAUGCCGCGUGAGCGAUGAAGGCCUUAGGGUUGUAAAGCUCUUUCAGCUGGGAAGAUAAUGACGGUACCAGCAGAAGAAGCCCCGGCUAACUCCGUGCCAGCAGCCGCGGUAAUACGGAGGGGGCUAGCGUUGUUCGGAAUUACUGGGCGUAAAGCGCGCGUAGGCGGACCAGAAAGUUGGAGGUGAAAUCCCAGGGCUCAACCUUGGAACUGCCUUCAAAACUCCUGGUCUGGAGUUCGAGAGAGGUGAGUGGAAUUCCGAGUGUAGAGGUGAAAUUCGUAGAUAUUAGGAGGAACACCAGUGGCGAAGGCGACUUUCUGGACUGUAACUGACGCUGAGGCUCGAAAGCCAGGGGAGCGAACGGGAUUAGAAACCCGUGUAGUCC